UGAAACUGCGAAUGGCUCAUUAUAUCAGUUAUAGUUUAUUUGAAGGUCCUUGCUACUUGGAUAACCGUAGUAAUUCUAGAGCUAAUACAUGCAUCAAACCCCGACUUUUGGAAGGGGUGUAUUUAUUAGAUGGAGACCAAUGCGGGGCAACCCGGUAAAUGGUGAUUCAUAAUAACUUUCGGAUCGGUCUUCGGAUCGAUGCUUCAUUCAAGUUUCUGCCCUAUCAGCUUUGGAUGGUAGGGUAUUGGCCUACCAUGGCUUUAACGGGUAACGGAGAAUUAGGGUUCGAUUCCGGAGAGGGAGCCUGAGAAACGGCUACCACAUCCAAGGAAGGCAGCAGGCGCGCAAAUUACCCACUCCCGGCACGGGGAGGUAGUGACGAAAAAUAACG
rnacentral:rRNA from 1 species